CCUACUUUUGCUGCUCAGUAAACAUUAGCUGUUAUUGUGGAUGCUGUUGCAGUUGCUGUGACUGCUGGUGGUGUUCCUUCGGCUGUCUCUGUCAUGCUGGGAUUGAAUCCAUGGGGACAAAGCAAGAGAACAAUCUUGAUUAACUGGUUCCCAUUCAUCUCUUC
rnacentral:lncRNA from 1 species